rnacentral:rRNA from 1 species
AGGACGAACGCUGGCGGCGUGCUUAACACAUGCAAGUCGAGCGGAAAGGCCCUUCGGGGUACUCGAGCGGCGAACGGGUGAGUAACACGUGAGUAAUCUGCCCCUAGCUCUGGGAUAGCUCCGGGAAACCGGGAUUAAUACCAGAUACGACCACUUUAGACAUCUGCUGUGGUGGAAAGAAUUUCGGCUAGGGAUGAGCUCGCGGCCUAUCAGCUUGUUGGUGAGGUAACGGCUCACCAAGGCGACGACGGGUAGCCGGCCUGAGAGGGCGACCGGCCACACUGGGACUGAGACACGGCCCAGACUCCUACGGGAGGCAGCAGUGGGGAAUAUUGCACAAUGGGCGCAAGCCUGAUGCAGCGACGCCGCGUGGGGGAUGACGGCCUUCGGGUUGUAAACCUCUUUCAGUAGGGACGAAGCGCAAGUGACGGUACCUACAGAAGAAGCACCGGCCAACUACGUGCCAGCAGCCGCGGUAA